rnacentral:snRNA from 1 species
AGCUUUGUGCAGUGGCAGUAUCAUAGCCAAUGAGGUUUAUCCGAGGCGUGAUUAUUGCUAAUUGAAAAAGAUUUUGCACAGCAAAAGAAACCACUAACAGAGUG